rnacentral:rRNA from 1 species
AUGCUUCACUGGCCAUCCGGUGGUUGGAUCACGGGCCAACGCUCUGGUCGCGAUGUGGUUGAGCUGCGCAGGAGGGGGAGGAGGCUGGGGACAGGGAACCGGGCCAGGGAGGAGGCAAGGAAGAACGCACAGUCUGCACUGGGGUAUAAAAUUAUCUACUACUUACCUUUGUGUCUCGACAUAUGCUUGUCAUUCAUCGUGCUACCAGAGGCCAUCAUUAUCCAGUAUCAUAGCGAUGAUAAAAAUGACUAUUGGAUACUCCGCAUAUUCUCAUCUGAUUUCUCAUAUAUAGAUAUUAAUUUCCUUUCAUGGGAGGCCUUCAUUACAUUUCAGCGGCAGUUGCGGAUGUGGACGGCGGUUGAGGGAGGGUCUCCGACUAGAGCAGCAGGAGCAAGGAGCUCGAGGAAGUUCAGGUUUAUGGCUUCUCACGGGAUGUGA